rnacentral:lncRNA from 14 species
UGAUUACUCCACAUGUUAAUCAGAAUGGGAUCGUCACUAUUCCAAAGUCCAUGAAAGCGGAAAGGAUAGAAGAAAACUGCAAGCUGAAAGUGUGCUUUCUUUGGGGGAGGGGAAACCACAACCAUCUUAUUGUUACUUCCAAAAUUACCACAAGGAUAUGAACUGUUCAGCAAAUCAGGAAGAAACUUUGCAAGAAGUGUUUAUUCUAUGGGCUCACCAAUUCAUUUCACACAACUGAGGGAAUGCAUUGCAGAAGAAUUUAAAACACUGAGGACGGAGAG